GGUCCCAUCGUCUAGUGGUUUAGGACGCAGGCCUCUCACGCCUGAAACACGAGUUCGAAUCUCGUUGGGACCA
rnacentral:tRNA from 1 species